rnacentral:rRNA from 1 species
UACAGAGGGGGCAAGCGUUAUUCGGAAUUAUUGGGCGUAAAGGGCGCGUAGGCGGCUUGGCAAGUGGAUGGUGAAAUCCCCUCGGCUUAACCGAGGAACUGCCGUCCAAACUGCUUCGCUUGAGACCGGGAGAGGUGAGUGGAAUUCCCAGUGUAGCGGUGAAAUGCGUAGAUAUUGGGAGGAACACCAGUGGCGAAGGCGGCUCACUGGACCGGUACUGACGCUGAUGCGCGAAGCGUGGGAGCAAACGGG